UAAAUCAGAAUAAUAGAAACUCAAAAGCAAGUUUUUACAGUCAAUGGAGUCAUCGGGAUCUGAAUAUCAUUUGCAUUUGACUGUGGACGGAGAAAGGAUGAGGCUGUCACUGGCUCGGCCAGCAUUUAUUGCUGCGUUUACCCAGAGGGCAGUUAAGAGUCAACCACGUUGCUAUAGGUCUGGAGUCCCAUGCAGACCAGACCAGAUCCCAGUGAUCAGUGCCAAAGCCCCAUUGCCUGUGGAGAGGGUGAUGUUUGAUUUCCCUGUCCAGCUGCAGUUCAUGUGGUGAAGGUGCUCCCACAAUGUGGUUGCGUGGACAUUCAGAUGGUAAUCUCAGUAAUUGUAACGCCAAACUGUGACAAAAUUACUCAAUUCAUCAGGAGCUGGAUAUUCACAUUGUGUGGAUCUGCACUGGAACCCUUCUGUUUGCGGGACAAAUAUAUAUAAGUGACAUGAAUUAAAAUCUAAUUUGAUUUGAUGAAGAUGUGUUGAAAAUGUUUGCAGUUACUGAUCUGCUGAACGAAAAUGACCACUUUUAAACUGAUGAUUGGACUAGAAACCUUUGAGAAAACUUGAAAAUA